GGACAGACUGACCCUGGUCUCUUCCUGCUGUGAGACGGUCUGAUCGUGGCCACCUUUGGAUACAGCCCUGCCACGAUUACUGCUUUGAUCAACUUCUCAUUGUCUGGAGAUCAUGAGUCAGAGAUGAAGACGAGACAGAGAAGGAUGGCGAUAAGUGACAGCAUCUGAGGCAGAAAAGGAGGAAUGAGUGGACUGCACCGAGCUGAGGAGGAAAGAUGAGAAGGAGGGCUUAGGAGAGAAGAGCUGAGGAAAAGAGAUGAGAAGAGAAGAAGAGAUGAAGGAAUUAGAUGUAAAUGAAAAGAAGAGUGGAGAAAAGUCCUCAACAAAUAAUACAGAGAAAAUGUUCUAAAAAGGCUGCAGACAGAUUGAACGGAUUGACGGAUUGAACCAGCAAAACACCUCUGACGUCACACUCUCUGACGUUACCACUCCCUCUCUGUGAGCCUCGACCUGGUCUCACCUGGAGUGUGUUUGCAGACAGGAAGUUCUGCCAGCAAAACUCCCUCUCACUUCUGCCUCCAUGCUGUCUGGCUUCCUCCCAGCCCUGGAUCAGUGAGAGAAGGAGGAGAAGGAGGAGGUGAGAGCAGGUCCAGAUAAAAACAACAGAUUAGAAGAAGAAGGAAGCAGCUGUGACUGACCUGGAAAGCAUUGACGAUGGGGGAUGAAGAAUGGGUCUUUGAAGCUGAGGGACGCAGCCAUGGUGAGAACAGGGUCCAGGCAGCUGAGCAGAGCUCCAAACAGGAUCAGUUUACCAAUGUGAGGUUCCACAGGAAGACGGGCCAGGUGGAACCC